UCCUGUCACCCACCCCACUCCUCUCUCUCUCCCGUAUUCCAUCCCACGAUCUCCCCCCUCCCAGCUUGCCACACCGCCUCCCCCCAACGACAACCUCGUCGUUUCCCCGCCACCUACCCAGCGCCACUGCCCCACCUCCUUCCCCUCGCAUCACCGCAGCGCCACCAGCCACCCAUGUCGUGCAUCAUGCCCCCAAAGGAGCUUGAGAUGUGGCGAAUCCGCGUAAAAGGGGCGAUGGUUGGCGUGUCGCGGCAUCGGGGAUCAUCGGAUCCAGGUGUCUGAUUGCUGAGGCCAGUGCUGGUCGGGCAACUGCAGCGGCCCGGCCUACCACUCCUCCCUCGAUCCCCACCACAACUAAGCGACUACGAGAGUAGGAACCCCCGGACGCCACCACUUCCCUUUCUGCUCGCCGCUUCUUCGACUAGAACCCAUCCUCGUCAACCUUUUUCGGCCUCCGACCCUCCUCAACAGCUGGAUCCGGUCAUCCUCAGGACCCCCCUAGCUUCCGUGCCCACUCCGGUCAGAUCUCGUUGUCUCCCAUCGCCACCUCUCAUGUACAACGCCGCCACGUGCCGAAUUCCGCGUGCUCCAUCGUUCACCGCCUUCACUUCCCAUAUUAAGGGCCGCCUGACACAUGGAUCCAGCAUGCCCCAUCUCUCCCACCCCAGAUAUCACCCUCAUCGCCACCACCUCCGCUGUGUACCACGGGUGAUGCGGUAGCAGAAGACGGCGCAUCUGUACGGGCGGGAAGUUUGCCGGCACGACACAUACGGUACACUGGUUUAGGUGAUGCUGUUUGCUAGCAUACUCCCUUAUCCAACAACGAGUAGUAGUUUGUUUUGGGACACCAUCUUCUAGUCCAUCAAUGUAGCAGGCUGCUCACUAGUGUCGUGCUUGCUGUUUGGUGCACGCGUCCACGGCUCAGUUGUUACCUUGAUGUAGUUUUUCUCAUAUUCGAGGUGGUGCUUCGUUGUGCAAAGCAAAAUACAUGUUGUAAAAAAUUGUUGGUUCUAUGUCUCUGUUCUACUCGAGCAGCGAUGCAGUUCGAUUAGGUCAUAAGUGUUGAAUAUGUUGUUAUUUAUGUCAAAAUAAUGUGUUUCACUAGCAAUAAUGUGGUUCAGUUGUGAGUGUGUUGUGGUCCAGUUCCGUGUGUGCUCGAUUCACUUACGACAAAAUGUGAAAUGCAAAAAUGUUGAGGAAAUGAAAAAAUGUAAUAUUACUAACACUUAUGCCACGGUUCACUUAAACUUGUGUCGAG
rnacentral:lncRNA from 1 species